AUGAUGCUUGCACUGGUCUGUAAUUGUGCUUACAGCUGCUUCUACCCCUUGCCUUUCAGAUGUGGUGGUGGAGUGAAGAGCAAGGACAUCUGCUGCUCAGAGUACUCCUCGCUGGACUCCCUCCGCACCUGGCAACCUCAGAUGGUCUGGUCUCAAGCAGCGUCCCAUCAAAGAGCACCACCUGCAUCUCACAGUGGCAUGCUUCCCACUGCUUGGUGGCGUUGGGUGAGGUGUGACCAGUAGCAUAGAAACAGCCAUGUCUGAGGCCGGAGGAAGCAAUGUUUCUGAUUAAGCAAGGUACGUCUCAACAGUCAGCUAGAAUUUGUCUCAAUUCUGCUGUUAAGUAUGUUAAUUAUGCAUCAACUUUUUUCACGUUCUUUGUAAAUUUAAGGGCCUGGUUCUGGAGAUAAGACUGUAC
rnacentral:lncRNA from 1 species